UUGAACAAACGUGCAGUGAAAGCAGGAUAGGUUAUAGUAUUUGCAACGUGUUCAAAUUGAAAUUAGAACUGCCGUUCUGGUGGAUGUUUACCAAAACACGGUGAACAUAUUUGAAAUAAAUGCUUGAUCGCGCGGUAGAUCGGACGUGUUGCAAGAUACCGCGUAACUUCCACGACGAUUAAGGUACCGGAAAUUAUCUUUCAGUUUACAAAGCGCGGUUCGCUCGUUUUUCAACUCUAUUUACAGUUGACCGACGGGUUUCGAGAGACGGAUCAUCGAUGCGUCAGGCUAUUGUUAAUUGUUACCGGUGUACGGUUGUUUUCGAAGCGGGAAAAGUUGGCACGAUAAAGAUCUCCGAUCGACGUUCUUCCUAGAUACAAUACGGCCGAGAAGGAGCAACGUUUUCGGAGAAGCAACGGGAGAGCAGGCGCCCGUGCGAGCGCGUUACCACGGAAAUUGAAUUACCUUUGUGCGACGGUGGCGUUGAAAGCGAGACUGGAUUGUACCGCCUUGCAAACGAGCUUCCAAUUAAACACGGCAAAGUACUGCAAUUUGUACGACAAAGAAUCUGGGGACGUACCGGUGUAGUCUCACCUAGCUGCGGCUGCAGGCGUCACGCGACCAGUCCCGUGGAAAAUCUUUUAAAUAGAACAGAGAAGAAUUUUGGAAGGGAACAGACUCUGCACCGGGUCGCGAACGCAUGAAUACGCGCGCGUUUCGCUUCCCGUCGAAGAUUUACGGACGUCGCAGAUCCACGCUUCCGCCCACUUUCAAUGAAAGUUCCCGAGAGAUUUGCACGCCAUUCGAUCGUGCUAAUUCCCAGCGACGAAAACAAUUUCUUGACCGCAAGUUUCGUCGAGAAAUAUACUUAAUGGGUCGAAACAAGAGAAGGGGGAUAGGAUUUGCUUGUCGUAGAAACGCCUCCCCUCCCCUCUGAUUUUUCCAUUGCAAAUAUUCGCGACCAGAUGGUUCGCGAAGCAUGAAGGUUAAAGAGCAAAGUCUCGCACAGGAAGGGUUUCGAUUUGCGGGAAAUAUAAAUCGUGAUCCGUUCGAAUCCGGUUAAUCGAAUUUAAAUGAAAUUCAGCAGUGGCCUUUGUUAGGGUUUCUCACGACUCCUACAUGACGCGCCGUUAGCGCCGUCUUUUUCAUCAUUAUCAUAACCGUUACGUUAUCCGUGAUCUUCUAAAGGAUGACACUGUUACACUUGGGGAUUGUCAUUAACAGAGAACAAUUAAAUUAACCGCAUGCGCGCACCCGGUGCGUUCCUGGUUGAAUAACUAACGACCUCGUUAUUGCACAGUUACUUAACCCAGACCCCUAACCCCCGUUGCCGUUUAUCAAACGAUCCAUACGCAAAGCAUCUGAUAAAAACUAAACGCAUUUCAAUCCUCAAGAACAACUGAACGAUGAGAGAGACCGGUGGAUUUCCAUCGCGAGGAACGAGUAUCGUUUCUAAUACAUGUAUAGCUAGCAACUUAUCCCUAAACGCAUGCUGGUUGCACGGUUAAUCUCCAAGGAGGAGAAACUGGGGUCAACAAACAAGACGCUGAAAGAGAAAAGAGAAAAGAGAAAAACGAACGGGGCAUAGAGCGAAGCGAAGAAGAGCCGAAGUGCCGCGCGACAGCGAGACAGGACAGGACAGGGUGAGAGAAAGGAAGGAAGAUGAAACGUAACGAGAGAUGAAAAGUAGGCGGAGAGGAGGCAAAGAACGAGACAGGAAGGGGUCUCUCUUCGCGUCUGAGGGCGACCCUCGGUGGAAAUGCAAUUUCGGUUCUUGUCUGGUGGCGACUUCGCAACCGUGGCUCAUAUCUUCUACGAGGCGUAGCCCCUUCAAGAUCGUUGAAGAAACAGCCUCUCUUGCAGCACACACAGAAGUCCCCUCUCUCGCUUUCUCUCCCCGGUCUUUCUCUGUUCCUCUCUCUCCCUCUCUUUCCCUCUGCUUGGCGUGUCUCAGCAGAUGAAAGACUCCCGUGGCUAUCAAAGGGAAAGGGAAGAGGCAAAGGCCCCACCAGACAAUAAUGGCCCUGAGUUCCAAGGUUUUCAGCCUCCUUGUCCAGGGAUCGGUGGUCCAGACGCGUGAUCACUCGAACCGAACCUGUUCGCCGAUUCUAAGAUUUUUUCUGCAAAUUAGAACAAUACCACGUACCUACGAUGCACCUACGAGGUGUACACCUAUGUGUAGGCGUAUCUGACAGAGUAGUACGAAUUUCGGUUUCGCGCGAUCCGAGAUGGGUUUUUGGAUGUUUAUUUUAAACUACGCGUCCGAACCAUGCCAGCCAGCUAGCCAAAUAGCCAGCCUCGACGAGGACAUCUUCCUAUGUCGUGCGAAACCGAGGAAAAACGCUGCACGAGGACUAUUCACCGAGGAACGUUUCCCCUUUUAACCGAUUACGAAACAAAGAAAGAAGGCGGUUCUAAAUUUGUAUCGGUUCAUUUUGCAUCCUCGUACAAGAGGUGAACGCUCUUCUGAACCGACGACGUUCUCGACGGACCCGCGUAGAUUUCUUCUUCGUCGUCGUCUUCUUCUUCUUCUUCUCUUCCCCCCUCCUACUUCUCUUUCUUGUUCUUCUUCUUCUUCUUCUUCUCAGGGCUGUCGAAAACCGGAACAACGGUCUACGAUGAAUUUCCUACAAGCCGUCCCAGCACCUUGUUGCAAUGAUUCAGCAUUCUCGAUCGAUUCACGAGAAAGGGAAAGGAGGAUAUCGAUGGUACACGUGCCUCCUAUUACACAUUCCAUGUUUCGUAGCAGAAGAUCCUCAAUGAAAGUUUAACCUAAACUGUAAAUCCGAUUAGGAGUACGACGAAACGCGCGUACACGUUAAACAAUGAUUCGAAUCUAAUCGAUGUAAAUGUUACCGUAAAUGGUCAUUAAGAUCAUUGUUGACGUCAUCCUGUGAGGCAUCGCAUCGUUGAACUUUAAAUACUAUUAUUAACAAUUGUAAUUUUUCGCCGUAUAGGGUAUGGUAAGUUUCCUUUUCCUGUUGACAUACUUAACUGAAAAAAAACAUUGAUUCAUGUUUCGAAAAAGUCUCGAUGGUGUGUUCAAAAAAUUUGUCAAAAAGACAAAUCUUUGAUACUUGUAAGGUCAAACGAGGUAUCGCGCCCUUCGAUUUAGGACCUUUAAAAAAUGCUAUAAAAAUGCAAUAAAUUUAAGUCGUGUUCGAAUAUCGGUAUCUUCGAUUUCCCGCGCUUUCUAUGGCUCCUCGUGAUUCCAAAUCCUACGAAGUAGUUACACAAAAGAGAUGUUUCAAAGAGUACAACAUUGAAAACACUUUUCUUUGUUUAUAUUAUAAUUUGUAAAGUGAAAGCACGAAUAAGAUGUGAAUAUAGAUCGAAUACCUUGUGAAAUUACGUUCACUGAUCGACUACUUUACCGUCUUGUAAAUACUGACAUAAGCGACCUCUUUUCUGGAACAAUGGUAUGUUAGAAAACUAUUCAUGUAAGAGACUUUUGAAGAUAAGAAAUAGACUUAUCAUCUUAUGAA